ACGCGUUUUUUAACGUUUGUUCGAAAUACGUCACACAUGACGAAUCGCAGUUCGACUGUGUUUCUCGUUGCUGUCGGACGUGCUUUUCUUUCGCUCUUGGAUUGCGUGCUGUUUUCUGCGGUUUCGUGCCUUUUACAGAGAAGAUUGAAGAUUUUUUAGGAUGAAGACGUUGGUGCGUUGUUGGAGGCGGUUCCGGCGGAGGCAGGCGGUGGCGCCGGAGGGAGAGGGUUCCUCGGACGACGCGGAACGAGUCUGUCGUUCCGUGCCGUUGGAGGAGCGGGGGCUCGACGAGCGACAGGCAGCGGGUGAAGAAGACCUUCGCCAAGUGCGCGUGGCGUGGCAUCCUCCCGGAGUCGGGAUGAUGCGACGCUACACCCUGGGUCCAGUGCGCUUGGCCGAGGUCUUCGGGGGUCAUCCGGCCACAGACCUUGCUGUGGAGGAUGUCGAAAGUGACAGCUCGUCCGAGCUGACACUUUCUGUUUGGUCGUGUUCUGCCCGUUCGUCCGCGACGGCGACGCCACCGCCUUGCCGAAGUCUGGACGGGGAGGAGUCGGAGGAGAGAGCCCCCGAAGUCGAGGGACCGUGCUGUCCGUGGUUUUGUUGCUGCGGACGGCUGCGGUUGCCUUGGCCUAGGCGGUGAUCUUCUUCGACUUCCUCUUCUUCACCCGGAUGCGACUUUCUUACCGGAUUCGACACUUUUCACCCGGACAUGACAUCUUUUAACGGACGUGACCUCUUUUACCCGGACGUGACCCACGGACUUGACACGUUUCUUCACCGGACGCGACAUUCGGCCGACCUUUCUUCCCAAACAGCUGUUAUGAGGAUUGAGCUUCCGGUUAGGGUUCGUUAGCUUAGCCUAGGCUAGGUCAGGUCCUUCGCUUUUCUCAUAACACUGUUUGGGAAGAAAGGCUGUCUGAUUAAGGAACAUUUGGGAGGGAGAAGUAUCUCCCUCCUCAACUUUACCACGAAGAGGACCAAGAAGUGGCCAUUUAUCGUACAAGUGAAUAUUUUCCGAUGACAUGCCGAAGAUGUUCUUCGAUCAUACACAUACACGCACGGACAUAACACCACUGUACACGAAGAUAUACACCGUUUAACCUUUACUCGAAUUCUCGCACUCACGCACUUACACGUCAAGCGCCUUGUUCUGUGUAAUUCGACACAAUGAAACAACCCGA